UAGGGAAUCUUCGGCAAUGGACGAAAGUCUGACCGAGCAACGCCGCGUGAGUGAAGAAGGUUUUCGGAUCGUAAAACUCUGUUGUUAGAGAAGAACAAGGACGUUAGUAACUGAACGUCCCCUGACGGUAUCUAACCAGAAAGCCACGGCUAACUACGUGCCAGCAGCCGCGGUAAUACGUAGGUGGCAAGCGUUGUCCGGAUUUAUUGGGCGUAAAGCGAGCGCAGGCGGUUUCUUAAGUCUGAUGUGAAAGCCCCCGGCUCAACCGGGGAGGGUCAUUGGAAACUGGGAGGCUUGAGUGCAGAAGAGGGGAGUGGAAUUCCAUGUGGAGCGGUGAAAUGCGUAGAUAUAUGGAGGAACACCAGUGGCGAAGGCGGCUCUCUGGUCUGUAACUGACGCUGAGGCUCGAAAGCGUGGGGAGCAAACAGG
rnacentral:rRNA from 1 species